rnacentral:rRNA from 1 species
GACGAACGCUGGCGGCGUGCUUAACACAUGCAAGUCGAACGGAAAGGCCCUGCUUUUGUGGGGUGCUCGAGUGGCGAACGGGUGAGUAACACGUGAGUAACCUGCCCUUGACUUUGGGAUAACUUCAGGAAACUGGGGCUAAUACCGGAUAGGAGCUCCUGCUGCAUGGUGGGGGUUGGAAAGUUUCGGCGGUUGGGGAUGGACUCGCGGCUUAUCAGCUUGUUGGUGGGGUAGUGGCUUACCAAGGCUUUGACGGGUAGCCGGCCUGAGAGGGUGACCGGCCACAUUGGGACUGAGAUACGGCCCAGACUCCUACGGGAGGCAGCAGUGGGGAAUAUUGCACAAUGGGCGGAAGCCUGAUGCAGCAACGCCGCGUGCGGAAUGACGGCCUUCGGGCUGUAAACCGCUUUCGCCUGUGACGAAGCGUGAGUGACGGUAAUGGGUAAAGAAGCACCGGCUAACUACGUG